rnacentral:rRNA from 1 species
AGUGAACGCUGGCGGUAGGCCUAACACAUGCAAGUCGAACGGCAGCACAGUAAGAGCUUGCUCUUACGGGUGGCGAGUGGCGGACGGGUGAGGAAUACAUCGGAAUCUACUUUUUCGUGGGGGAUAACGUAGGGAAACUUACGCUAAUACCGCAUACGACCUACGGGUGAAAGCAGGGGAUCUUCGGACCUUGCGCGAUUGAAUGAGCCGAUGUCGGAUUAGCUAGUUGGCGUGGUAAAGGCCCACCAAGGCGACGAUCCGUAGCUGGUCUGAGAGGAUGAUCGGCCAAACAGGAAUAGAGAGAGGGGCAAGAAGCCUAGGGGCGGCAGCAUGAGGGAAGAUUCGGCAAUGGGCGAAAGCCUGACGGAGCAACGCGGGGUGAGUGAUGAAGGUCUUCGGUUCGUAAAACUCUGUGAGUAGGGAAGAACAAAGGUGUAAGUAACCAUGCACGUCGUGACGGUACCAAAGAAGAAAGCCACGGCUAACUACGU